rnacentral:rRNA from 1 species
GCCCAGACUCCUACGGGAGGCAGCAGUGGGGAAUCUUGCACAAUGGAGGAAACUCUGAUGCAGCGAUGCCGCGUGAGUGAAGAAGGCCUUUGGGUUGUAAAGCUCUUUUGUAGGGGAAGAUAAUGACUGUACCCUAAGAAUAAGGUCCGGCUAACUUCGUGCCAGCAGCCGCGGUAAUACGAAGGGACCUAGCGUAGUUCGGAAUUACUGGGCGUAAAGCGCGCGUAGGCCGUUGAGUUAGUUAAUUGUGAAAUCCCAAAGCUUAACUUUGGAACUGCAAUUAAAACUGCUCGACUAGAGUUUGAUAGAGGAAAGCGGAAUACAUAGUGUAGAGGUGAAAUUCGUAGAUAUUAUGUAGAACACCAGUUGCGAAGGCGGCUUUCUGGAUCAACACUGACGCUGAGGCGCGAAAGUAUGGGUAGCAAAGAGGAUUAGAUACCCUCGUAGUCCAUACCAUAAACGAUGAUUGCUAGAUGUUGGAAAUUUAUUUUCAGUAUCGCAGCUAACGCAUUAAGCAAUCCGCCUGGGGAGUACGACCGCAAGGUUAAAACUCAAAUGAAUUGACGGGGACCCGCACAAGCGGUGGAGCAUGUGGUUUAAUUCGAAGAUACGCGCAGAACCUUACCAACCCUUGACAUGUCUGUCGCGAGUUUAGGAAACUAGACUUUUCGGUUCGGCCGGACAGAACACAGGUGCUGCAUGGCUGUCGUCAGCUCGUGUCGUGAGAUGUUGGGUUAAGUCCCGCAACGAGCGCAACCCCUACUUUUAGUUGCCAUCAGGUCAUGCUGGGCACUCUGAAAGAACUGCCAGUGAUAAGCUGGAGGAAGGUGGGGAU